CUUUUGAUGGCGACCGGCGCACGGGUGAGUAACACGUAUCCAACCUGCCUCAUACUCGGGGAUAGCCUUUCGAAAGAAAGAUUAAUACCCGAUGUUAUAGUCCUACCGCAUGAUGGGAUUAUUAAAGAAUUUCGGUAUGGGAUGGGGAUGCGUUCCAUUAGUUAGUUGGCGGGGCAACGGCCCACCAAGACAACGAUGGAUAGGGGUUCUGAGAGGAAGGUCCCCCACAUUGGAACUGAGACACGGUCCAAACUCCUACGGAAGGCAGCAG
rnacentral:rRNA from 1 species